GGCCUCUUCGUCUAAUCGGCAAGGACGCCAGACUCUCAAUCUGGUAAUGUUGAGUUCAAGUCUCACAGAGGUCACCA
rnacentral:tRNA from 1 species